rnacentral:lncRNA from 1 species
CUUUUGUUAGAGCCUCUUGAUUUUUCAAAGCACACCAGCCAAAUGCCUUGAGAUGCUGUAAGCCACUGAUUUUGCAUCGGCAUGGCUUUGCUCCCAGCCUGUUAGCUACAGUUGCUAGGCUGGCUUCUGCCGCAUGUCACAAAGAACUCUGCUAAAGCCUCGGUAAACACUAUUAAGCCCUAAACGGAUGAUGAUAGUGAAAUCGGCUCUAAGCUGUGGGCUAAUGGAAUGAUAUAUUCAUUGUGCUGUGUAAGAACAAGGACAAAGAACUGGACAUGCGCCAGAUUUCAUAAGCAAGUUAUGCAAAAACCGCAUGAGGGAGGGAGAGCUGAUUUUAAAAGAGGCAACCAUCGAGGUCCAGGUGGAGGAAGGCACAGAAACUGAACCUGACAUUUAUUAGUUA